rnacentral:rRNA from 1 species
CAAUAGCGUAUAUUAAAGUUGUUGCGGUUAAAAAGCUCGUAGUUGGAUUUCUGCUGAGAACGACCGGUCCGCCCUCUGGGUGUGUAUCUGGCUCUUUCUUGGCAUCUUCUUGGUGAACGUUGCUGCACUUGACUGUGUGGAGCGCUACCCAGGACUUUUACUUUGAGGAAAUUAGAGUGUUUCAAGCAGGCAUACGCCUUGAAUACAUUAGCAUGGAAUAAUAAGAUAGGACCUCGGUUCUAUUUUGUUGGUUUCUAGAGCUGAGGUAAUGAUUAAUAGGGAUAGUUGGGGGCAUUCGUAUUUAACUGUCAGAGGUGAAAUUCUUGGAUUUGUUAAAGACUAACUUAUGCGAAAGCAUUUGCCAAGGAUGUUUUCAUUA